GCGCACGUGGCGUAAUUGGCAGCCGCGAUAGACUUAGGAUCUAUUGUCUGAUGACGUGGGGGUUCGAGUCCCCCCGUGCGCAC
rnacentral:tRNA from 1 species